CAGUCGCCACGGGAAUACGAAGGGGGCUAGCGUUGCUCGGAAUGACUGGGCGUAAAGGGCGCGUAGGCGGAUCACGCAGUCAGAUGUGAAAUUCCUGGGCUUAACCUGGGGGCUGCAUUUGAGACGCGUGGUCUAGAGUGUGAAAGAGGGUCGUGGAAUUCCCAGUGUAGAGGUGAAAUUCGUAGAUAUUGGGAAGAACACCGGUGGCGAAGGCGGCGACCUGGUUCACAACUGACGCUGAGGCGCGAAAGCGUGGGGAGCAAACAGGAUUAGAUACCCCGGUAGUCCCUGUCUCUUAUAC
rnacentral:rRNA from 1 species